rnacentral:rRNA from 1 species
AGUGGCGGACGGGUGAGUAACACGUGGGGAACCUAUCCAUCAGCGGGGGAUAACACUUGGAAACAGGUGCUAAUACCGCAUAUGGCUUUUUUUCACCUGAAAGAAAGCUCAAAGGCGCUUUACAGCGUCACUGAUGGCUGGUCCCGCGGUGCAUUAGCCAGUUGGUGAGGUAACGGCUCACCAAAGCAACGAUGCAUAGCCGACCUGAGAGGGUGAUCGGCCACACUGGGACUGAGACACGGCCCAGACUCCUACGGGAGGCAGCAGUAGGGAAUCUUCGGCAAUGGACGCAAGUCUGACCGAGCAACGCCGCGUGAGUGAAGAAGGUUUUCGGAUCGUAAAGCUCUGUUGUCAGCAAAGAACAGGAGAAAGAGGAAAUGCUUUUUCUAUGACGGUAGCUGACCAGAAAGCCACGGCUAACUACGUGCCAGCAGCCGCGGUAAUACGUAGGUGGCAAGCGUUGUCCGGAUUUAUUGGGCGUAAAGCGAGCGCAGGCGGUGAUUUAAGUCUGAUGUGAAAGCCCCCAGCUCAACUGGGGAGGGUCAUUGGAAACUGGAUCACUUGAGUGCAGAAGAGGAGAGUGGAAUUCCAUGUGUAGCGGUGAAAUGCGUAGAUAUAUGGAGGAACACCAGUGGCGAAGGCGGCUCUCUGGUCUGUAACUGACGCUGAGGCUCGAAAGCGUGG